GCCGGGGGCCGCGGCCGGGCGGGCCGGAGCCGGCUGAAGGGCGGGGAGGCCCCCCCGGGGCGGACCGGGCCGGGCAGAUAUUUGCACCCCAACCCCGGGACACAGCAUCCUUUCCUUCAGCCUCCGCCCCAACCCACGUCUGCCUCCUGUGGUUUUUUCGUAGUAUUUAUUAAGCGCCUAGUAUGCGUCAAGCACUGUGGUAAGCGCCGAGGUAGACGCCAGUUCUCUCAGGUUCCUGACCCGAAGCUGUUUGGCGACAGAACGUGUUUUCCUACACCCCGGGUGCUGGUCGGGGUUUUUUAUCUCCUGAAAGGGAGGAAGAAUUUGUAGUUUGGGCCUCGGCAGGCCAACUCGGGCUCGCCCGAACCGAUGGACGGGCCCUGGGCCGGCCGGGCGGACGCGUCCCCGGACCGGGAUGGGAAACAGCCUGCCGCCGGCGACCGGGACCCCCGUUCCCCGGAAGAGGGGCGGCUGAGGCCGGGGGUCCCCCGCCGCCCCCCGCCGGGUUGACGCGCGGGACGGCCCCGGGGGGCCGCGGUCGAUCCCGGGGGGCGCCCCCCGAGCCCACCGGAGCAUCCCGGGAGACGUCGGGCCCGGCGGCGGAAGUGGCCCGAGACCCGCCUGCCACCCCGGAGCGAGGACGGAGCCGCCGAGUCCGCGCCCGAGCCGUGCCCCCUCCCGCCCCUGCCACGGCUUCCGGACAGAAGCGGGUCAGCCUGCGGCGGGCGCCUCCCCUCCGGGGCGGGGCCGAGCCGCGGCAGCGGAGGGAGCGGGCGCGGGGCCACCCUGGGCGGACACCUCCGGCCCGGAGUCCCGCCGACCAAGCGGCCUGACGGCCGGAGCCCCGGCGGUGGGACCGGAUUCCUCCCGCGGGGUUGGCCGCCCGCUCUCUGCCCGGCUCCGGCCCCUUCCCCACGGCGGCCCCGGGGCCGAGUGGGACGCUGGGACUCUGCGGGACCGGGCCCCGCCCGCGCCCGGGUCAGUGUGAAUUUAGCAAAAACGAAAUGACUCGAAACCGUUCCUUCCCCACGGGAGAGGCGGAACGGCCGGCCCCCUCCGCCCCGUCCUCUCGGAGCCGGGUGAGGGGCGGCGGGGAAGCCGGGCAGGUCACCCUCUGGCAGACCCAGGCCGGGGGCCGAGAGCGGAGGGAGCCCGCUGCCUCCCCGCCCCGGUCCGGCGGGGGCGGCGGGCGAGCGGGCGGCGUUCUUCACCCGGGACAACCCGAUGAGCCUGUAUCUCCCCCAGCGCCUCCAACGGUGCCCUGCACGUGGUAAGCGCUUACAAAUACCAACGUUAUUAUUAUUCUUGUCCCCCUCGACGGAAUCAGUUCGAGAGAGGUUUCCGAGCCGGGGAUGCGGGCGGUCACAGCUGGGCAGGGCCGGGAGCCCAUCCCGUCCCCGCCGCGCCCUCUGGCCGCCUGGCCGGCCCCGGGAUGAGGGGGCGGGGGACCAGGCGGCCGCGAGGGCGGGUGGGAAGGGGCGGGGGCCCCGGGGGUUGCUCCAGAAGGGCCCCGUGGCGGGAACUCCGUCUCCAAUUCCGCCCCCGCCCCGGUGCCGUCCCGGUGGCAACGGGUGUCUUGGGCCGGAGCCCCCGCCCCCCCCCGGCCCCGCCCCGGGGCUCCCCGCCGCCCUCCCGCCCUCUCGCUUCACCGCCGGCCCGCGGGUCGGUGAGGCUUCUCCGUCCCCUCCAGAUCCACUUCCAGCCGGGUCCCCGAAGACCCCCUCACCGUCACCCCCGCGGACACCACGCCUUUCCCCGCCUCCUCGUCCCCCUCCUCCCCCCAUCCCCGCCGGCUCUUCGGCCCUGGGUGUUCGGCCAGGGCCGUGGGCCUCUCCCCGCCCCCCUCCCGCCCCCCCCCCCCGUCCCUCCACGGUGGCUGGAAAUCUUCCUUUUCGGAAGGGUAGCCAGAUAGCUAAGGGAUACGUGCAAUAGACAUGUAUAUAUCUCCGUAUAUACACAUAUAUAUAUAUAUAUAUUUUAAUACUCGUGGACAAAACGAUGUUCCAAGUUGUCUGAGAACAACAAAAUCACCAAUGUCUUCCAUUUUGAGAUGUGUAUAGUUCCAUAAGCAUUAGUGCUUCGUAGGAACAGUAGUGCCGCCCUUAGAGGCCUGUGCAUGAGCCUGUAGCUGUGAUUUUUACAAUUUCGGAGUGAUUCGUUCUUAAUAACUAACGCUAAUAACCAGUAGCGUAACAGACGGCGAGCGGGAGGGUAGGGGGAUACGUCCUCCCUUCCUGCAGCUUCGGAGCGGGGCGCGAGGCGGCCCGGGGGGGACCCGAGGGAUGGGCUCAAAACCCAACGGUGCCCGUCCGGUGCCCCGGGUGAGGCUGAGGGCGUCGGGCCGGGGUGGCGACGCCCGUCGGGGCUUCGGGUGCGGGGCGCCGUUGGCCUCGCGACGCGCCCCCUUCCUCGUCCCGGGAACGAGGGGGUCCCCCGGGGUUUCCGGGUGGUCGGGCGGUGGGCUUCGGAGCCGACCCCGAGGGGGCCCGGAGGUCACCCGCCCGUGGCGGCGGGAUUCGUUCAGUCCUGUUCAUCGAGCGCUUAGGGUGUGCGGAGCCCUGUGCUAGGCGCUUGACGGGAUCCAGUCCGGGCGGGGGAGCCAGCGGGGCGAACCCAAGCUGGAGACGGGCGGACGGUCGUCCCCGUGGUCGGUCGGUCGCGGUCGGUCGGUCGGUCGGCCCAUCCCUAGCAGUCGGUCGGUCAUUUCGGUUCCCCCGGUCAGCCAGUCGGUCCCCUCGGGCCGGCCGGCGGUCCCCGUGGUCGGUCGCUUGGUUCUCCCCGCCACCCCCGGCUCGUCAGUCGGUCCUCGCGGUCUGUCGGCCCGUCGCUCACAGUCGGUGGUUCUCCGCGGUCGGUCAGUCGGUUCCCCCGGCCGGCCGCUCGGCGUCCGUGGUCGGUCCGUCCCCGGCGGUCGGGGCCCCGGAGCCCAGACGGCGACGGCCGAACCGUUGACUCGAGCGGUUUCGUGCUUGGGGGAAUCCAUUUCUGAAAAUACCUCUGAAACGGGAACGCGAAAGAGUGCAGCAUGCGGGACGGGGAGGGGAGGGGGGG